UAUAAAAGUGUCGUCAAUGACCAGACAGGCAGGGGAUUUAUCCCCUGUAAUGGAUGGACAUUCGACGACCUGACCUGUAUGAACAAGUAAGGCAUUUGCCUAGAUUGCGAAUACAGGCAACGAUGUCGAGAGUGCAUAGCACAAAGACAUCGGCUUCUAUA
rnacentral:sRNA from 1 species